GAUGAACGCUGGCGGCGUGCCUAAUACAUGCAAGUCGUACGGAAAGGCCCUUCGGGGUACUCGAGUGGCGGACGGCUGAGUAACGCGUGGGAACGUGCCCCAAAGUGAGGGAUAACGCACCGAAAGGAGUGCUAAUACCGCAUAUGGUCUUCGGAUUAAAGCUUCGGCGCUUUGGGAGCGGCCCGCGUACGAUUAGAUAGUUGGUGAGGUAAUGGCUCACCAAGUCGACGAUCGUUAGCUGGUCUGAGAGGAUGAUCAGCCAGACUGGGACUGAGACACGGCCCAGACUCCUACGGGAGGCAGCAGUAAGGAAUCUUCCACAAUGGGGGCAACCCUGAUGGAGCAACGCCGCGUGCAGGAUGAAGGUUUUCGGAUCGUAAACUGCUUUUAUAAGUGAAGAAUAUGACGGUAACUUAUGAAUAAGGAUCGGCUAACUACGUGCCAGCCGCCGCAGUAAAAC
rnacentral:rRNA from 1 species